UGGGGAAUAUUGGACAAUGGGCGCAAGCCUGAUCCAGCAAUGCCGCGUGUGUGAAGAAGGCCUUCGGGUUGUAAAGCACUUUUAUCAGGAGCGAAACGCUGUCGGCUAAUACCCGGCGGAACUGACGGUACCUGAGGAAUAAGCACCGGCUAACUUCGUGCCAGCAGCCGCGGUAAUACGAAGGGUGCAAGCGUUAAUCGGAAUUACUGGGCGUAAAGCGUGCGUAGGCGGUUUCUUAAGUCUGCUGUGAAAUCCCCGGGCUCAACCUGGGAAUGGCAGUGGAUACUGGGAGGCUAGAGUGUGUCAGAGGGUGGUGGAAUUCCCGGUGUAGCGGUGAAAUGCGUAGAGAUCGGGAGGAACAUCAGUGGCGAAGGCGGCCACCUGGGACAACACUGACGCUGAGGCACGAAAGCGUGGGGAGCAAACAGGAUUAGAUACCCUGGUAGUCCACGCCCUAAAGCGAUGCGAACUGGAUGUUGGUCUCAACUCGGAGAUCAGUGUCGAAGCUAACGCGUUAAGUUCGCCGCCUGGGGAGUACGGUCGCAAGACUGAAACUCAAAUGAAUUGACGGGGUCAUAGCUGUUUCCUG
rnacentral:rRNA from 1 species